GAUGAACGCUGGCGGCGUGCCUAAUACAUGCAAGUCGAGCGAACAGACGAGGAGCUUGCUCCUCUGACGUUAGCGGCGGACGGGUGAGUAACACGUGGAUAACCUACCUAUAAGACUGGGAUAACUUCGGGAAACCGGAGCUAAUACCGGAUAAUAUAUUGAACCGCAUGGUUCAAUAGUGAAAGACGGUUUUGCUGUCACUUAUAGAUGGAUCCGCGCCGCAUUAGCUAGUUGGUAAGGUAACGGCUUACCAAGGCAACGAUGCGUAGCCGACCUGAGAGGGGGAUCGGCCACACGGGAACUGAGACACGGUCCAGACUCCUACGGGAGGCAGCAGUAGGGAAUCUUCCGCAAUGGGCGAAAGCCUGACGGAGCAACGCCGCGUGAGUGAUGAAGGUCGUCGGAUCGUAAAACUCUGUUAUUAGGGAAGAACAAAUGUGUAAGUAACUAUGCACGUCUUGACGGUACCUAAUCAGAAAGCCACGGCUAACUACGUG
rnacentral:rRNA from 1 species